CGAUGCGUAGCCGACCUGAGAGGGUGAUCGGCCACACUGGGACUGAGACACGGCCCAGACUCCUACGGGAGGCAGCAGUAGGGAAUCUUCCGCAAUGGACGAAAGUCUGACGGAGCAACGCCGCGUGAGUGAUGAAGGUUUUCGGAUCGUAAAGCUCUGUUGUUAGGGAAGAACAAGUGCCGUUCAAAUAGGGCGGCACCUUGACGGUACCUAACCAGAAAGCCACGGCUAACUACGUGCCAGCAGCCGCGGUAAUACGUAGGUGGCAAGCGUUGUCCGGAAUUAUUGGGCGUAAAGGGCUCGCAGGCGGUUUCUUAAGUCUGAUGUGAAAGCCCCCGGCUCAACCGGGGAGGGUCAUUGGAAACUGGGGAACUUGAGUGCAGAAGAGGAGAGUGGAAUUCCACGUGUAGCGGUGAAAUGCGUAGAGAUGUGGAGGAACACCAGUGGCGAAGGCGACUC
rnacentral:rRNA from 1 species